rnacentral:rRNA from 1 species
AUUGAACGCUGGCGGCAGGCUUAACACAUGCAAGUCGAGCGAGCGGCGGACGGGUGAGUAAUGUCUGGGAAACUGCCUGAUGGAGGGGGAUAACUACUGGAAACGGUAGCUAAUACCGCAUACCAUCAGAUGUGCCCAGAUGGGAUUAGCUAGUAGGUGGGGUAAUGGCUCACCUAGGCGACGAUCCCUCGCUGGUCUGAGAGGAUGACCAGCAAAACUGGAACUGAGAAACGGUCCAGACUCCUAGGGGGGGCAGAGGGGGGGAAUAUGGCACAAUGGUCGAAAGCCUGAUGCAGACAUGCCGCGUGUGUGAAGAAGGCCUUCGGGUUGUAAAGCACUUUCAGCGAGGAGGCGUUACUCGCAGAAGAAGCACCGUCUAACUCCGAGCCAGCAGCCGCGGUAAUC